rnacentral:rRNA from 1 species
GAUGAACGCUGGCGGCGUGCCUAAUACAUGCAAGUCGAGCGAACGGACGAGAAGCUUGCUUCUCUGAUGUUAGCGGCGGACGGGUGAGUAACACGUGGAUAACCUACCUAUAAGACUCGGAUAACUUCGGGAAACCGGAGCUAAUACCGGAUAAUAUUUUGAACCGCAUGGUUCAAAAGUGAAAGACGGUCUUGCUGUCACUUAUAGAUGGAUCCGCGCUGCAUUAGCUAGUUGGUAAGGUAACGGCUUACCAAGGCAACGAUGCAUAGCCGACCUGAGAGGGUGAUCGGCCACACUGGAACUGAGACACGGUCCAGACUCCUACGGGAGGCAGCAGUAGGGAAUCUUCCGCAAAGGGCGAAAGCCUGACGGAGCAACGCCGCGUGAGUGAUGAAGGUCUUCGGAUCGUAAAACUCUGUUAUUAGGGAAGAACAUAUGUGUAAGUAACUGUGCACAUCUUGACGGUACCUAAUCAGAAAGCCACGGCUAACUACGUG